UGUCAUUUCACAUUAGCUUUAUCGAAUGCCACUCGAUCUAUGUCAUUGUGCCACUCUAUUCUUUUGCUCACUUUGGGUGCUCACUUUUCUCUCAUGCAUACAUAUAGGGUUUUAACUCUCAUAAGGUUCUUAACCAUCACAUUAUGCAAGUUGUACUCACAAUCAUGCAUCAUCACAUUCUUUUCAUUACUUUACCCUAAAAUGCAUGCAACAAUACAUAUAACAUAUGCUCAAAGAAUGACACAUUAGGCAUAGAGAGAAUUUCAAUGAGUUUGAGAAGCACCACCCACCUUGUAGGUCUCUUUAGGUGCUCCGAUGAUUUUCUUAGGAUUUUUAGAUGCCUCGUCCUUUACCUGCGGCAAAACGAACCCUUAUUAGGCCAUUUUGCCCAUAACUUUUCAUACACUUUUCGAAAUGCUAUUCCGAGCGCACCAACGCGUCGGAAAUACCCCCAAUUAGAUUUUUAGAGGGUCAAUUGCACUUAGAAACCUUCAUGAGCAAAAGCCCCAAUUUGGGUGCCCUAGCUCCAAUGUAUAUCAAAACCUAGGGUUUGAUCUCAUUGGGAAGCAAAAGUAGCUUCAUUAUACUCUAAAUAGCCCAUUAGAAUCAUUCUUAGGCUUUCCAAAACCCUAGUUUGGAUUUCACCAUUAGAGGUGGCCAAAGCUCACCUCUAUAGCAAGCCAAGGUUUUGAUCUCAAAAGAAGCAAAAGAAAGCUUCAAAAGUCUUUAAUCAUUCCAUUAAAACCCAUUUCUAGGUUAUUCAAAACUCAUUCUAGGGUUUUUCUACAAUAUAGAUCAAAGCUUACCUUGUAAGCUUUCCUUUCUUGCCCUAGAGAGGAAGAAGAUGAGGCUCCUUUGCUCCAAAAGCUUCUUCUUCACCUUCUUCUCCUUCUUUGUCUUCCCUUCUUUCCUUCUUCUUCUUUUCCUUCUUUGUCUUCUAGAGAGAGAAAGGGAGAGAAGAGAGUGUGAGAGGGAGUGGAAUGAGAGGAAAAAACCCCUCAGCCCACUAACAUAGCUCAAUGGGUUGCAAAAAUGCUAAUAAACCCCUCAACUUUUAUCUCUGUGCACUGCCUGGACUGGGCAGUUUUCGCAGGCAGAGACCGGUCUCCCUGAGCAGGGACCGGUCCCCGAAGGCCCGCCCUG
rnacentral:lncRNA from 1 species